rnacentral:rRNA from 1 species
UUGCACGGUCUGAUUAGUGGCGAACGGGUGAGUAACACGUGAGUAACCUGCCCUCCACUUCGGGAUAACCUCGGGAAAUCGUGGCUAAUACCGGAUAUGAGCACUCAUCGCAUGGUGGGUGUUGGAAAGAUUUAUCGGUGGGGGAUGGACUCGCGGCCUAUCAGUUUGUUGGUGAGGUGAUGGCUCACCAAGACGAUGACGGGUAGCCGGCCUGAGAGGGCGACCGGCCACACUGGGACUGAGACACGGCCCAGACUCCUACGGGAGGCAGCAGUGGGGAAUAUUGCACAAUGGGCGAAAGCCUGAUGCAGCGACGCCGCGUGAGGGAUGACGGCCUUCGGGUUGUAAACCUCUUUCAGUAGGGAAGAAGCGAGAGUGACGGUACCUGCAGAAGAAGCGCCGGCUAACUACGUGCCAGCAGCCGCGGUAAUACGUAGGGCGCAAGCGUUGUCCGGAAUUAUUGGGCGUAAAGAGCUUGUAGGUGGCUUGUCGCGUCUGCCGUGAAAACCCGAGGCUCAACCUCGGGCGUGCGGUGGGUACGGGCAGGCUAGAGUGUGGUAGGGGAGACUGGAACUCCUGGUGUAGCGGUGAAAUGCGCAGAUAUCAGGAAGAACACCGAUGGCGAAGGCAGGUCUCUGGGCCAUUACUGACACUGAGAAGCGAAAGCAUGGGUAGCGAACAGGAUUAGAUACCCUGGUAGUCCAUGCCGUAAACGUUGGGCACUAGGUGUGGGGGACAUUCCACGUUUUCCGCGCCGUAGCUAACGCA